AAGGAAGGACAGAAAUCAAUAAGUGCUGCUAAUACUUAUGCCCCGAGGUUAAAUUCCUCGGCUUCUUUA
rnacentral:tRNA from 1 species